AUUGAACGCUGGCGGCAGGCCUAACACAUGCAAGUCGAGCGAGCGGCGGACGGGUGAGUAAUGUAUGGGGACUGCCCGAUAGAGGGGGAUAACUACUGGAAACGGUGGCUAAUACCGCAUACUAUCGGAUAACCCAUAUGGGAUGAGCGAGUAGGUGGGGUAAAGGCUCACCUAGGCGACGAUCACUAGCUGGGCGGAGAGGAUGAUCUGCUACACUGGGACUGAGACACGGCCCUGACUCCGACGGAGGCAGCAGUAGGGAAUAUUGCACAAUGGGCGCAAGCCUGAUGCAGCCAUGCCGCGUGUAGGAAGAAGUCCUUAUGGUUGUAAAGUACAUUCUGCGGGGAUGCGUUACCCGCAGAAGAAGCACCGGCUAACUCCGUGCCAGCAGCCGCGGUAAUUC
rnacentral:rRNA from 1 species